UAUUAAUUAAAUUAAAUUUAAAUAAAAAAUAAAACCCAAACUGAUCUUAUCUAGCAAACCAUUUCAUCUUCCUCCAUCACACUAGUCCACCUAUGCUCGGUACUGCCAAUCAUCAACAUCACACCAACAAAAAAACUUUUAGUCCAAACAAAACAAACAAGACAAAUCAAUUGAUGGCAAAUCCAUCCCCUGCUACGCAAAUCCAUCCCUGCUAGUGGGAGUUCUAUUUUUGGGAUUAUCCAUCACUGGUAAAAGACUAAUACAAAUGUUUAAGCUGCAAUUUCAUAAAAUUAUCCCGAUUUACCUCAUCAUCUAAAUAGAUGCUACAACAACGGUCUUAUUUGUGAACAUAUCCAUUUAUUAUUUAAGCUAUAAUUUCAGAAAUUUCCGCAUCUCUCUCGACAUCUGAGAUGUCAUCUGAUUCUGGUUUCAUGCUAUUUGUGAAGGUUCAGCUAACAAUUUCUUCAUGGUGAUCUGCGUUUCGAUGGUGAUCGUCGAGAGCGCCGGCGGGGAGGAAGGAGACGACACCAGCGACUUUUUCUCCGGCGAUAGAGAAAGAAAAUAGAGAGAGAGAAAGUGUAAACUCUCAUCUGCCAAACUGAGAUUUAUUCAUGAUAGAGAGAGAGAGAAACACAGAUCACCAUGAAAAAAUUGCUAUUUGUUUGGAACGAAUUUUUGGUGAUAGAUCUGGGUUUGGGAUUUUUGGUGAUAUAUUUGGAAUUUUAUUUGGAACAGAUGUAUAGAUCUGGGUUUAGAAGAAGCAUAAAUGGAUUUAGAGUGAUCUUUUAAAUGAGAUUUGACAUUUUUAUCCUUGGACAUUUAGUUAAUAUAAAAAUUUAUUUGAAAUAAUAAUUUUUAAUUACAUGUAUACAGUUAUCAGCCUAGUCAGCAGGUCACGUCAGCAAUUUCUGACGUGGCAGGGCCAAUUGAAUACAAGUGGAAAAAAUUAAUAAUUCAAUCAUUUAAUUGACAAAAUUGAAAGGUGAAUCAUCAAAG
rnacentral:lncRNA from 1 species